AUUGCAGUGGUAUUACAUAAUGAACUAAUUGAAUAUUGUCACAUGAAUAAAACUUGCUAAUGGACAAACUUAACACAUACUAUUCAGAAUAAUCAACCACACACCAAGCAUGUCUUCGAGACAUCAUGGACACAAAAUGGUUGCUCACACAAGCAAAGUAUAAGAGAGUUGUACUCCAGUCUAGUAGAUAGCGGUAAUGCAACAUUGGAUGCCAACCGCCGUUAAACCUCAUCGAAGAAGAAGAUCACUAGGUUGUUGAUUCCUAUCACGCACAAGCAAUGCUGUUGUCGUUCUAGCUUUGCACGAGUUCGCGCAUAAAGUAGUUCGGUUUUAUCCACGCUACGGCUGAACCAUAACAUGUCGAAGGAGGUAUCUACGUUUGUAUUUAUUGGAUACUAUUCAGUGUUAGCUAGCUAGUUAAUUAAUUAAUUAACGUGUUAGGUUGUAGCGUUUGUCAUGUGUUAUUUGUAUGCGACGCAGUAUUUAGCUAACUGAACAUGACCGCAGGCCAUGUAGAACUCUGGCUAGCUAACAUUAGCUAGCGCUGCAGGCGUAAAGGUCUGUCUAAAUUGUUAUUUAGCGAAUCAUCAAUAUUUUAACUUAUUAUGAAGAGAUUUUUGUAAGGUCAUUACCCCAUUUCUUCACAAUUGCAACUACAUUUUUAAUGGGGCAUACAUCAAUGAAGGUGUACAGUUGCCAUUAGCUAGCCGGCUAAACUAGAAGUACAAACUUUAGUCGAGGGCUGAGUUUCGAGACCACCGACAAGAGUUUACUGAACAAUUUUGAACGAUGGGGAUCCCUCUCAGAUUGUGUGGUGAUGAAAGAUCCAGUCACAAAGAGAUCAAGGGGGUUUGGCUUUGUCACAUACAGCUCAGUGGAGGAAGUUGAUGCAUCAAUGGAGGCUCGUCCUCACAAGGCUGACGGCCGACAAGUGGAGCCCAAGAGAGCGGUGUCCAGAGAGGAUUCCUCUAGGACAGGUGCUCACACAAUGGUGAAGAAGAUCUUUGUGGGUGGAAUCAAGGAGGACACAGGAGCACCAUCUUAGGGAAUACUUUAAUCAAUUUGGCAAGAUUGAAGUCAUCGACAUCAUGACUGAUAGAACCAGUGGGAAGAAGAGGGGAUUUGCCUUUGUUACAUUUGAUGAUCACGAUUCAGUCGAUAGGAUUGUCAGUCAACACCGUUGGUACAGAAAAGCUGCUGUUGUUCCAGAAGUUAUCAUUGACUGUAUGAUACAACUGUGAAGUGAGGAAGGCUUUGUCAAAGGAAGAAAUUAACUGAUCAGGGCCAAGAGGUGGACACUUUUGCAGAGGUCACUUCAAACAUCUGCUAUCUGAGCAGCUAACCGAUCGCUGUACAUAGUCUAUCGGCUACAUUACUUAGGUGAGGUGACCGGAAAAGAAGCAGCAGGUUUACCUCCUAUAUCUGCUCAGCCAAGCACUGCCACAUGAAGAGAUGUACAGUAGACAAGGAAAAAUCAUGUGGAAAGGGAAGGAGGAGACUGGGUGGGUCAAACCGUUCUUGUCAAAAUACUUCCCAGCAGGAUUAUAUGGUUUGGUUAUUUUUGAAGUGUGAAGCAUUCUGAGGUUUUAUGUAGGUAUUUUGAUUUUCCCUGUACCGAUAGGGUGUUUUUAAAGAUUUAACUGCCACCAAAUCAAGAUCAAUCAACCGCUUUUCAGUUCAGGUUUUUUUACAUGGUCUAUUUUGGUUGAUGGGUUCCUGUUGAUUGUCUUACAUGAGAUGAGCACUCAACAGCUGAGUAGAUGGUACGAAGUGUUAUUGGAGAAUCAUCAAUGAUCAGAGUACUUACGCUAUGUUCAUAUUCAGUAUCAAAGCAGGUGUCAUUGUUUACAAAAGUUUAUUUUCAUUUAGAUUAUUUACCGCCAUGCCUAUGGUGAAAAUAAAGGUCAAAGGCCUUUUUGCUUCGGGGCCGCUGAGUUGGUUUCUCCCCAUAAGAUUAGCAUUGUUGCCAAUGGACAAAAUAAAAGUUUUCUUAAAGGCUUCUCUGUUGGCUCAUAGCUUCACAAUCAAUUGGAGUCUAGUUUACACACACAACUUGACUAGCCAUUCAUUUGGAGGAGCCAGCUGAGAGGGAGAGAAGUAGCAAGAUCCCCGCCAGUGAAGCAGGGGACAGCAGCAGUCAGUACAGAUGAUUGCUCUGGUAAGACUAGCGAGAGGUAGCUCAAGAAAGGAAGGGGUAUUUUAUACCAUGCUGUUAGGUAAGAUAUUUUUGAUCAACUUGUAUGUGUAACACUCACCUUUUGUAUAUAUGUUAGCAGUCCAUGUCACCUCUCGGCAAAUGAACUAACAUGGACUAACAUGGAGUUUUAUUCCAGCAAAAUGAUUUAUUCUUAGAAAAGGAGGGCUAUAGCAGUGUUUUGGGAUGCCAAAAUAACUGAAUGAUGCCAACCUUGACUGCUACCCUUGUACCGUUGCAUUUAUGACAACAUAAGUGGCCCAAUGUCCUCAACAUUUAUCACUAGAUCUGGCAUUUGUAGUGCAUAAAAAUCUAGAAUAGAAUCACUCAUUGCUUUAAUAAUGUUUACUUACUUUCUCUAUUUCUCUUUUCAUUUUCAGGGCUGUAAGAUGUCUGCUCCAGUGCACCUAAUCUUGCACCUCUCAUCCCUACACCUGUACUGGGAUGACUGGCAGUUGCAGGACCAAUCUUGACACCAUGGUGUCAUUUUAAAUGAACAGAAGGGACACAACAGGAAUGCUGCUGGACAGUUAUAUUUAAACUUUUGUACUAACCUUCAAUAAAUGUAGAUUUUUUUUUUAA